GCCCAUAUCAUGUUGAAAAACCAGUUCCCAUAUGAUCCCCAAAGUUAAGCAAUGUUGAGCCAAACCAGUACUUAGAUGGUUGGCCACUUGGGAAUACCAGAUGCUGUAA